CGAUCUGUUGCGGGCAGAUGAAAUGAAUAUGCACGUCGAGGCCGCCGGCGGUCAGGAUCUUGCCCUCGCCUGCGAUGGCUUCGGUGCCCGGGCCGACGAUGAUGUCGACGUCGGGCUGGGUGUCCGGGUUGCCGGCCUUGCCGAUGGCGACGAUACGCCCGUCUUUCAGGCCCACGUCCGCCUUGACGAUCCCCCAAUGGUCGACGAUCAAGGCGUUGGUGAUCACCGUGUCGACGGCGCCGUCGGCGCGGGUCGUCUGGGCUUGGCCCAUACCGUCGCG
rnacentral:sRNA from 1 species